rnacentral:rRNA from 1 species
AAGUAGUGCCUAUGCGCUAUUUAGUGGCAAACGGGUGAGUAACACGUAGCUUAGCUGUCCUAAAGUGGGGGAUAGCCGCGGGAAGCCGCGGGUAAUACCGCAUGUGAUCUACGGAUUAAAGCUUAAUGCGCUUUAGGAGGUGGCUGCGGCCCAUCAGGUUGUUGGCGGGGUAAUGGCCCACCAAGCCUAUGACGGGUAUCCGGCCUGAGAGGGUGAUCGGACACAUUGGAACUGAGACACGGUCCAGACUCCUACGGGAGGCAGCAGCUAGGAAUUUUCCGCAAUGGACGAAAGUCUGACGGAGCAACGCCGCGUGAAGGAUGAAGGUCUUUAGGGAUUGUAAACUUCUUUUAUAUGAGACGAGUAAGGACGGUAUCAUAAGAAUAAGUCCCGGCUAACUACGUGCCAGCAGCCGCGGUAAUACGUAGGGGGCUAGCGUUGUUCGGAAUUACUGGGUAUAAAGGGUGCGCAGGCGGAUUUCUAAGCAAGAGGUGAAAUGUCAAGGCUCAACCAUGGCACUGCCUUUUGAACUGGUUAUCUGGAGUACAGAAGGGGAGAGCAGAAUUUCCGGUGUAGGGGUGGAAUCUAUA